rnacentral:rRNA from 1 species
UACGGGGGGGGCAAGCGUUGUCCGGAAUUACUGGGCGUAAAGGGUUCGUAGGUGGCCAAUUAAGUCAGACGUGAAAUCCCUCAGCUCAACUGGGGAACUGCGUCUGAGACUGGAUGGCUUGAGUGCAGGAGAGGAACGCGGAAUUCCAGGUGUAGCGGUGAAAUGCGUAGAUAUCUGGAGGAACACCGGUGGCGAAGGCGGCGUUCUGGACUGCAACUGACACUGAGGAACGAAAGCCAGGGGAGCAAACGGG